rnacentral:tRNA from 1 species
GCUGCUGCCGUCGCGGGACAUCGACCUGGCGUUCCCGGCGCCGGUGGCCGACGGCUCGGCCGCCGCCCGGCUGCGCC